rnacentral:rRNA from 1 species
GUGUUGGGUUAAGUCCCGCAACGAGCGCAACCCCUACUGCCAGUUACUAACAGGUAAAGCUGAGGACUCUGGCGGGACUGCCGGUGACAAACCGGAGGAAGGUGGGGAUGAGGUCAAGUCAUCAUGGCCCUUAUGUCCAGGGCUACACACGUGCUACAAUGGGUGGUACAAAGCGAAGCGAGUCCGCGAGGAACGAGCGAAACGCCGAAAGCCAUCCGUAGUUCGGAUUGAAGUCUGAAACCCGACUUCAUGAAGUUGGAAUCGCUAGUAAUCGCGCAUCAGCAUGGCGCGGUGAAUACGUUCCCGGGCCUUGUACACACCGCCCGUCACACCAUCCGAGUUGGAGGUACCCGAAGCCGGUAGUCUAACCGCGAGGGGGACGCUGUCGAAGGUACGUUUAGUGAGGAGGGUGAAGUCGUAACAAGGUAGCCGUACUGGAAAGUGCGGCUGGAUCACCUCCUUUCU